GACGAACGCUGGCGGCGUGCUUAACACAUGCAAGUCGAACGGAAAGGCCCAAGCUUGCUUGGGUACUCGAGUGGCGAACGGGUGAGUAACACGUGGGUGAUCUGCCCUGCACUUCGGGAUAAGCCUGGGAAACUGGGUCUAAUACCGGAUAGGACCACAUUUUGGAUGGUGUGGUGGAAAGUUUUUCGGUGUGGGAUGAGCUCGCGGCCUAUCAGCUUGUUGGUGGGGUAAUGGCCUACCAAGGCGUCGACGGGUAGCCGGCCUGAGAGGGUGUACGGCCACAUUGGGACUGAGAUACGGCCCAGACUCCUACGGGAGGCAGCAGUGGGGAAUAUUGCACAAUGGGCGCAAGCCUGAUGCAGCGACGCCGCGUGGGGGAUGACGGCCUUCGGGUUGUAAACUCCUUUCGCUAGGGACGAAGCGCAAGUGACGGUACCUGGAGAAGAAGCACCGGCUAACUACGUG
rnacentral:rRNA from 1 species